rnacentral:lncRNA from 1 species
UUUUCAUUGUCUUGGCCAAAAUUUAUGGAGAGGAAAGAAAGAGAGAGUUUCUUCAACUUCAACUUCAAUUCUUGCUCAAAUCUUGAGUUUCAACCGUUGAAUUAUCAAAUUACUCCAUCCAAGUUGCUUAUUAAGGGGGAUUAAAGCUUCUAGUGGAGGGAUUUGUGAAAGGAAAACCCUAAGUUAUCAUCUUUCUUGAGGUGUUAAGGUACUUUGCUUACAAACUUCCUCUUUGUUCAUGCUAAUAUCAAAUUAGCGGCUCUAGUGGCUAAAUAUGUUGAUUUGUGGUAGGUUUUAUGGUUGAAAGUGGAGUUUUGAUUGAUUUUUGAUUUAUUAGUGAUUUUUCUGUUUUUAUAUCAUAAUUAUUGUUUAGUCAUGGAUUGAUGGCCUGUUAUAGUGUAAAAUGGAGAUUGGUAUAUGUUGGAUAUGAUUGGUUGCGGAAAAUUUCAGAGUUUAUGCGGAAUUUCCAGUUUAGGGUUUCAUCCUACCCUGUUCUGCCCGAACCUGUUAGGCCAUGAUGGAAACCGAAUCAGCCUUUUCCCAAAACAUAAAAGUUGUUGGUAAUUGAGUUAGCUAGCUACCUGUAAAAUUUCAGCUCAAUCGGAGUACUGUAUCAUGUGAAAUGACUGAAAUACCCUUGACUGCCCAUGAGCCCUGUUUCGUGCCCAGAUUUCUGUUUUCAUGGAGUUUUCCAUUUUUGACCCUGAAAAUGCAUAAUUUGGCUUUGGAAGUCUUCAUAAUAAAGGUAGAUAUAUGUUUCGGCUUCGAAACGCCAUAAGAUUCAUUUCAAUCCGAUAAGUGUAACUUCAGUUAUGAAUAUUGUGCCGAAAGGUGUAUUUGAUAGUUUAUGAUGUGUAUGUGGUUGAUUUGAGAAGAAUUGGUGUUGCUUGUAGGAUGGAAAAGUAAGGAAAUUAAGGGGAUAUGCUGUCCGAUCUUUGAAAGCAUUUGAUUGCUUUGAGUUUGAGUUGAAGGGCUUGGACUUGAGCAAGGCAACGAUAUAUGAUGGAUGGUUCUUGAGUCGUGGUUGGUGAGUGACCCCAAACUGUUUUCAAAACUACUUAUGAACUGUUUCUUGCAUUAUUUACUCGAUUGCAUAUCAUGU